UACGUAGGGGGCUAGCGUUAUCCGGAAUUACUGGGCGUAAAGGGUGCGUAGGCGGUCUUUCAAGCCAGAAGUGAAAGGCUGCGGCUCAACCGUAGUAAGCUUUUGGAACUGUAAGACUUGAGUGCAGGAGAGGAGAGUGGAAUUCCUAGUGUAGCGGUGAAAUGCGUAGAUAUUAGGAGGAACACCAGUAGCGAAGGCGGCUUACUGGACUGUAACUGACGCUGAGACACGAAAGCGUGGGUAGCAAACAGGAUUAGAUACCCUGGUAGUCCCU
rnacentral:rRNA from 1 species